AAUAACUCGGGGAAACUUGAGCUAAUACCGGAUAAGCCCUUACGGGGAAAGAUUUAUCGCCGAAAGAUGGGCCCGCACUUGAUUAGCUUGUUGGUGAGGUAAAAGCUUACCGAGGCAACAAUCAAUAGCUGUUCUUAGAGGAAGACCAGCCACGUUGGGACUGAGACACGGCCCAGACUCCUACGGGAGGCAGCGGUGGGGAAUCUUGCACAAUGGGGGAAACCCUGAUGCAGCGAUGCCGCGUGAGUGAAGAAGGCCUUUGGGUUGUAAAACUCUUUCGUCGGGGAAGAAAAUGACUGUACCCGAAUAAGAAGGUCCGGCUAACUUCGUGCCAGCAGCCGCGGUAAUACGAAGGGACCUAGCGUAGUUCGGAAUUACUGGGCUUAAAGAGCUCGUAGGUGGUUAAAAAAGUUGGUGGUGAAAUCCCAAGGCUUAACCUUGGAACUGCCAUCAAAACUUUUUAGCUAGAGUGUGAUAGAGGAAAGUGGAAUUUCUAGUGUAGAGGUGAAAUUCGUAGAUAUUAGAAAGAACACCAAAUGCGAAGGCAACUUUCUGGAUCAUUACUGACACUGAGGAGCGAAAGCAUGGGUAGCGAAGAGGAUUAGAUACCCUCGUAGUCCAUGCUGUAAACGAUGUGUGCUAGACGUUGGAAAUUUUAUUUUCAGUGUCGCAGCAAAAGCGUUAAGCACACCGCCUGGGGAGUACGACCGCAAGGUUAAAACUCAAAUGAAUUGACGGGGACCCGCACAAGCAGUGGAGCAUGUGGUUUAAUUCGAAGAUACGCGCAGAACCUUACCAACUCUUGACAUGUCCGUCGCGACUCGUAGAGAUAUGAGUCUU
rnacentral:rRNA from 1 species